rnacentral:rRNA from 1 species
AUUGAACGCUGGCGGCAGGCCUAACACAUGCAAGUCGAACGAGUGGCGGACGGGUGAGUAAUGCCUGGGAAACUGCCUGAUGGAGGGGGAUAACUACUGGAAACUGUAGCUAAUACCGCAUACCAUCGGAUGUGCCCAGAUGGGAUUAGAUAGUUGGUGAGGUAAAGGCUCCCCAGGGCGACGAUCCCUAGCUGGUCUGAGAGGAUGACCAGCCACACUGGAACGGAGAAAGGGUCCAGACUCCUACGGGAGGCAGCAGUGGGGAAUAUUGCACAAUGGGCGAAAGCCUGAUGCAGCCAUGCCGCGUGUAUGAAGAAGGCCUUCGGGUUGUAAAGUACUUUCAGCAGGGAGGCGUUACCGGCAGAAGAAGCACCGGCUAACUCCGUGCCAGCAGCCGCGGUAAUUC